rnacentral:rRNA from 1 species
UGGGGAAUUUUGGACAAUGGGCGCAAGCCUGAUCCAGCCAUGCCGCGUGCGGGAAGAAGGCCUUCGGGUUGUAAACCGCUUUUGUCAGGGAAGAAAUCUUCUGAGUUAAUACCUCGGGAGGAUGACGGUACCUGAAGAAUAAGCACCGGCUAACUACGUGCCAGCAGCCGCGGUAAUACGUAGGGUGCAAGCGUUAAUCGGAAUUACUGGGCGUAAAGCGUGCGCAGGCGGUUUUGUAAGACAGAGGUGAAAUCCCCGGGCUCAACCUGGGAACUGCCUUUGUGACUGCAAGGCUUGAGUGCGGCAGAGGGGGGAUGGAAUUCCGCGUGUAGCAGUGAAAUGCGUAGAUAUGCGGAGGAACACCGAUGGCGAGGGCAAUCCCCUGGGCCUGCACUGACGCUCAUGCACGAAAGCGUGGGGGG